UACGUAGGGGGCGAGCGUUGUUCGGAUUUACUGGGCGUAAAGGGCGCGUAGGCGGCGGACCAAGUCGAGUGUGAAAGCCCCGGGCUCAACCUGGGAGGUGCGCUCGAGACUGGUCUGCUUGAGUUCGGGAGAGGAGCGUGGAAUUCCCAGUGUAGAGGUGAAAUUCGUAGAUAUUGGGAAGAACACCGGUGGCGAAGGCGGCUCACUGGUCCGGUACUGACGCUGAGGUGCGAAAGCGUGGGGAGCAAACAGG
rnacentral:rRNA from 1 species